rnacentral:rRNA from 1 species
ACGAGUCGUGGGGAGNNAKRRUGCUUGCUCUUGNCUUCAGCGGCGGAAUGRWGCGUAUUACUUAGGAAUCUGCCUAUUAGUGGGGGACAACAGUGCGGCUGGACUGCCUCCUCCGCAUACGCCCUACGGGGGAAAGGAGGGGAUCUUCGGACCUUUCGCUAAUAGAUGAGCCUAAGUCAGAUUAGCUAGUUGGUGGGGUAAAGGCCUACCAAGGCGACGAUCUGUAGCGGGUCUGAGAGGAUGAUCCGCCACACUGGGACUGAGACACGGCCCAGACUCCUACGGGAGGCAGCAGUGGGGAAUAUUGGACAAUGGGGGCAACCCUGAUCCAGCCAUGCCGCGUGUGUGAAGAAGGCCUUUUGGUUGUAAAGCACUUUAAGCGAGGAGGAGGCUCUUCUAGUUAAUACCUAGGAUGAGUGGACGUUACUCGCAGAAUAAGCACCGGCUAACUCUGUGCCAGCAGCCGCGGUAAUACAGAGGGUGCGAGCGUUAAUCGGAUUUACUGGGCGUAAAGCGUACGUAGGCGGCUUUUUAAGUCGGAUGUGAAAUCCCUGAGCUUAACUUAGGAAUUGCAUUCGAUACUGGGAAGCUAGAGUAUGGGAGAGGAUGGUAGAAUUCCAGGUGUAGCGGUGAAAUGCGUAGAGAUCUGGAGGAAUACCGAUGGCGAAGGCAGCCAUCUGGCCUAAUACUGACGCUGAGGUACGAAAGCAUGGGGAGCAAACAGGAUUAGAUACCCUGGUAGUCCAUGCCGUAAACGAUGUCUACUAGCCGUUGGGGCCUUUGAGGCUUUAGUGGCGCAGCUAACGCGAUAAGUAGACCGCCUGGGGAGUACGGUCGCAAGACUAAAACUCAAAUGAAUUGACGCGGGCCCGCACAAGCGGUGGAGCAUGUGGGUUUAAUUCGAUGCAACGCGAAGAACCUUACCUGGUCUUGACAUAGUAAGAACUUUCCAGAGAUGGAUUGGUGCCUUCGGGAGCUUACAUACAGGUGCUGCAUGGCUUGUCGUCAGCUCGUGUCGUGGAGAUGUUGGGUUAAGUCCCGCAACGAGCGCAACCCUUUUUCUUUAUUUGCCAGCGGGUUAAGCCCGGGAACUUUAAGGGUACUGGCCAGUGACAAACUUG